rnacentral:rRNA from 1 species
UUGAUCCUGGCUCAGGAUGAACGCUGGCGGCGUGCCUUAAGCAUGCAAGUCGAAUGGUCGCAAGACAAUGGCAGACGGGUGAGUAAUGUAUAGGAAUCUACCCUUCAAUGGACCAUAGCCUAUCGAAAGAUGGGGUAAUAGUCCAUAGCCCCAAGGUUUCACCUUGGGAAAUUCGAAAUCCGAAAAUCCAAAUCCGAAACAAAUUAUAAUUUUAAAAAUCCAAAUGACCAAAAGUUUUUUGAUUUUUAUUAUUUAGAUUUUUUGAAAAUUGUUUCGAGUUUCGAUAUUUGAUAUUCGAAUUUUCUAGAGUGAAGCUUUGGGUAAAGAUCUUAACUGAUCGUUGAAGGAGGAGCCUAUAUCCUAUCAGCUAGUUGGCGGGGUAAAAGCCCACCAAGGCGAUGACGGGUAGCUGGACUGAGAGGUCGGUCAGCCACAACUGCACUGAGACACGGGCAGUACACCUACGGGUGGCAGCAACUAGGAAUAUUGCGCAAUGGACGAAAGUCUGACGCAGCGACGCCGCGUGGAGGAUGAAGGCCUUAGGGUUGUAAACUCCUUUUGAGUCGCCAUUCACGGCGACUAGAAUAAGCCCUUACUAACUACGUGGCCCGUAAAAAACGGGUUUGGCGCGUAGUAUAAAUUUCACUAUAUGCUGGGAACUUUUGUAAAAGCUUACCUACCGAAAGGUAAAAAUGGUAAGCCAAACCCUAAAAAACUAGCGAUUGGUAUGGGGGUUGCGAAACAAUCAGCAGGCAACCUCGAUUUUUCGAGGAAGUCCUCAGAGACUAUACGUGGAACAGGUUUAAAACCUGAAGAUAUAGUCCAAUGUUCGGAACGUAUAAUUUUUGUACGGGCCGGGCCAGCAGUCGCGGUAAUACGUAGGGGGCAAGCGUUAUCCGGAUUUAUUGGGCGUAAAGUGUGCGUAGGCUCCUUAAAAAGUCGCGUCUCAAAUGCUCAGGCUUAACCUGAGAAGCGGAUGCGAUACUAUUAGGGUUGAGGAUUGACAGGGAUGCUGGAACAGCUAGAGUAGCAGUGAAAUGCGUUGAUAUUAGCUGGAACACCAAAGGCGAAGGCAAGCAUCUAGGUUUUUCCCUGACGCUGAGGCACGAAAGCUAAGGUAGCGAAACAGAUUAGAUACCUGUGUAGUCUUAGCUGUAAACAAUGUUCGCUAGCUCUUCCCCUCUUUUCUUUGUUUGCAAAUUUUUAAUGUUUAAAGAUUUGCCGGAAAAGAGGGGAGGGGCGUAAGUUAACACGUUAAGCGAACCGCCUGGGGAGUACGGCCGCAAGGCUAAAACUCAAAGGAAUUGACGGGGACCCGCACAAUCUGUGGAGCGUGUGGUUCAAUUCGAGACAAAACGAAAAACCUCACCAGGGUUUGACAUAUUACCGUUUAUUUCUCUGGAAACAGAGAGAAAUCCGCAAGGAUGGUAUUACAGGUGCUGCAUGGCUGUCGUCAGCUCGUGCCGUGAGGUGUUCCCUUAAGUGGGGAAACGAGCGCAACCCCCAUUCAAUGUUAAAUAUUCAUUGGAGACAGCCCCCUCUUUCUGGGCUUUAUCUAAAAAUUUUAUGUAGAGCGUUGAUUGUUGAAAUCAAUAAACGUGAAAUUAAGAUAGAACUUAGAAAGAGGGGGAGGAAGGAGGGGAAGACGUCAAGUCAGCACGGCCCUUAUACCCUGGGCUACACACACACUACAAUGGCGAAAAACAAUGAGUUGCAAGCCGGUAACGGCAAGCUAAUCUCUGAAAUUUCGUCUCAGUUCAGAUUGGGGGCUGAAACCCGCCCCCAUGAAGUUGGAAUAGAUAGUAAUCGCGAAUCAGCAUGUCGCGGUGAAUACGUUCUCGGGUCUUGUAC